CAAUAGCGUAUAUUAAAGUUGUUGCAGUUAAAAAGCUCGUAGUUGGAUUUCUGGUAUGACGCACCUGGUCCGGGCCUUCGGGUUUCUGUGUACCGGUGUGCGUCUACCAUCCUGUCUGAGACUGUUGCCUACCCUUCACUGUGGCCGGGCGCACCAUCAGACUCGUUUACUUUGAAAAAAUUAGAGUGUUCAAAGCAGGCAUUGGUGCUUUGCAUACAUUAGCAUGGAAUAAUAAGAUAGGACUUCGGCUCUAUUUUGUUGGUUUCUAGGACUGAAGUAAUGAUUGAUAGGGACGGUUGGGGGUGCUUGUAUUCAACGGCCAGAGGUGAAAUUCUUGGAUUCGUUGAAGACAAACUUAUGCGAAAGCAUUCACCAAGGACGUCUUCGUUAA
rnacentral:rRNA from 1 species